rnacentral:rRNA from 1 species
AACGCGAAGAACCUUACCUACUCUUGACAUCCAGAGAACUUUCCAGAGAUGGAUUGGUGCCUUCGGGAACUCUGAGACAGGUGCUGCAUGGCUGUCGUCAGCUCGUGUUGUGAAAUGUUGGGUUAAGUCCCGCAACGAGCGCAACCCUUAUCCUUUGUUGCCAGCGGUCCGGCCGGGAACUCAAAGGAGACUGCCAGUGAUAAACUGGAGGAAGGUGGGGAUGACGUCAAGUCAUCAUGGCCCUUACGAGUAGGGCUACACACGUGCUACAAUGGCGCAUACAAAGAGAAACGACCUCGCGAGAGCAAGCGGACUUCAUAAAGUGCGUCGUAGUCCGGAUUGGAGUCUGCAACUCGACUCCAUGAGGUCGGAAUCGCUAGUAAUCGUAGAUCAGAAUGCUACGGUGAAUACGUUCCCGGGCCUUGUACACACCG